rnacentral:lncRNA from 1 species
UCUCUUGGUAGAAUGAGAUCCGUUGCAGGUUAGUGGUAAGAAGAUAGGUUAAGGGAUACAAGGAGUAUCUAGAUAAUAUUUUGUAGAGUUGUUUCUAGCGUAAGGGUUAAGGGUUUUAGUUACUGUGAGAAAGUUUUGGAAGAGAGAGUGACAGGGAAUGGAUGUUGGGAAAUUGAAAGAUUAAGAGAAAGAAGAGAAAAGGAGUUGGGUGGAUGAGAAAGUGGAAAUAAUGGGGUUGAGCUUUAGUGGUUAAAAAGCAAAAUAGUAAAAGAGGGUUGUGCAUGGUUUAUUAUGCAGUACUUACGCGAAUGUGAAUCAGGGUCUUAACGGGAAUGACCAAAAGACUACGAGUGUUGAAGUAUAGAGAGGUGAGUGUUUUGAAGAAGUAGAGAACCAAAAGCAAAUAGAGGGAGGUUGAGUGUGUGUGUGUGUGUGUGUGUGAUGUUUACGUGAAGUUGAGAAAGAGAAUGGUGAUGAACGAAAAAUAAAGAGAAAAGUUAUUGUCUGGUGUGUGAGAUGACAAAAAUUAAGAAAAUAAAAUGGGGAUGUAUAAUUAAGGUAUGGAUGAGUGGGCCAUGUGAAAUUGACAUUUAUUAUGGCAGUAUUUUAUAGUAAGAAAGUAAAGUAAAGAAGUUACAUGAGUAUGAGAAAGUGAUGAUGAGUAUUGGUUAUUGUAUUAACAGAAGAAGUAUGAUGUUUGAGAGAGAAGAUGGAUUUACGUGAAGUGGAAAAGGAUAUGGAAAUUUUGGUCAAUUGAUGAUGGACCCACUUGAAAGAAUGAUGAUAAUAUUAUAAUAGGAAAUUAGGUGGGCCAUGUGGGGUCCACAUGGGUAGUUAUAUAGUUUAAUAUUAUAAUAGGUUUUGUUAUAGAAAAAGGAGAAAUAAAAAUAUUGAUGUGGCUUUAGUCUGGAUGAGAAAAGUGAGUCAUUAGGAAACUCACGAUCAGGAGCUAUGGAUUUGUGCUCGAAGCGAAAAAAGUUUUUGGGUAAGGUGUGUCUUUCUUUUUAUGCCUAGAUUCGUGUGGGAAAGGAGUGGUAUUUCUCUUGGGGUCUCACGAGUAAUUGUCUUAAUAAUUAAAUAAUUACCCUUGUACGUUUUGGUAGAGAAAAAGGAAUAGGACAGGUGUUGGUGAGGACUGACCUGAUGAACAACCUAUGACAAGGGCAGCUUAGUUGUAAUGAAUUUGCACAUUUGGGAUGGGUCACGUGAAACAUUA